ensembl:ncRNA F09A5.13 ncRNA
UUCAAUAAAGAAGGUGUGAAAACUCAGAAACAUGAGAGACAAGGUAUGUGUACGUGUUUGAAGUAGAAAGUUGAAUCGGUUAAAGAAAAUGUUAUUGUGGAAUUUGGACUGUACCGACUUUUAUGGUACUUCGAUUGCAUCUAUC